rnacentral:rRNA from 1 species
GAUGACGAGUGGCGAACGGGUGCGUAACGCGUAUACAACCUACCUCUUAUUAAGGAAUAGCUCAGAGAAAUUUGAAUUAAUACCUUAUAAUAUCAUAAAGUCGCAUGGCUUAAUGAUUAAAGAACUUCGAUAAGAGAUGGGUAUGCGUGAUAUUAGCUAGUUGGUAAGGUAACGGCUUACCAAGGCAACGAUAUCUAGGGGGUCUGAGAGGAUGAUCCCCCACACUGGUACUGAGACACGGACCAGACUCCUACGGGAGGCAGCAGUGAGGAAUAUUGGACAAUGGACGAAAGUCUGAUCCAGCCAUGCCGCGUGAAGGAUGAAUGCCCUAUGGGUUGUAAACUUCUUUUAUAUAGGAAGAAACCUCUGGAUUUAUCCAGAGCUGACAUUACUAUACGAAUAAGCAUCGGCUAACUCCGUGCCAGCAGCCGCGGUAAUACGGAGGAUGCAAGCGUUAUCCGGAUUUAUUGGGUUUAAAGGGUCCGUAGGCGGAAUUUUAAGUCAGUGGUGAAAGCCUGCAGCUCAACUGUAGAACUGCCAUUGAUACUGAAAUUCUUGAAUAUAUAUGAAGUGGGCGGAAUGCGUCAUGUAGCGGUGAAAUGCACAGAUAUGACGCAGAACACCAAUUGCGAAGGCAGCUCACUAAUGUAUUAUUGACGCUGAGGGACGAAAGCAUGGGGAGCGAACAGGAUUAGAUACCA